UGAAUACUCUCUGUUGAGGAUACUCAUUAACUCUCAGGAGGUGCUCAACUUCCACAAUCAGCUUCAAACAUGGAGACAGCUGUGCUGUCCCAUCUUCAGCAUUCGGCUGGCCUGCUAGAUUAUAGGAAUUUAUGGAGGCGCGAACCAGUCGUUAACAGGCUAGAGGAGAGGACUGCAGCAGGAAAAGCAACCACCAGGCACGUGUAAGGUAACAUUAUGGUUGGAAGAGACAUCGGGAGGUCAUCCAGUCCUGCUCAAAGCAGGACCACCACCAACUAAGUAACUUUGUGCCAGCGAUUAAACAGCUGCAAAGGAAAGUGCAGAG